rnacentral:rRNA from 1 species
UACGUAGGGGGCGAGCGUUUUCCGGAUUUAUUGGGCGUAAAGGGCGCGUAGGCGGCUCGGCACGUCCGUUGUGAAAUCGCCCGGCUCAACUGGGCGGGGUCGGCGGAUACGGCCGAGCUGGAGCAAGCUAGGGGGUAAUGGAAUUCCCGGUGUAGUGGUGGAAUGCGUAGAUAUCGGGAGGAACACCAGUGGCGAAGGCGGUUACCUGGAGCUUUGCUGACGCUGAUGCGCGAAAGCGUGGGGAGCGAUCCGG